rnacentral:misc_RNA from 1 species
CGGGGUUGCAUGGAUACAGCAUUUUCUUUUCAAUAAGAGAAAUGGGGAAGGAAAAGUUUGGGCAAAUCCAUUAAAGAUUUGGCUAUGUGCUUGAUUAAAUUGAUGGGGGAACCGGUUCUAUCAUUUAAUAUUAGCUGUAAACUGUUAAAAGUACUCAAUAUUGUACAAGCUUUGACAUUGAGCAACAAGACUUUGUCAAGAUUUGCCCAAAUGGUUCAUUUAUGUCCAUACAGAAACUAGAAGAGUUUACAAAGAAGGUAGAAGCCAAAGAUUGAAGAGAGAUGAAGCAAAUGACAGAAACCAUGACAGGAAAGCCAUAGCAGCAGACAACUGGUAUCUGCUACACAUCUUUGCAGGGCAAUAUGAAGUUCCAACAUCAAGCAGAAGAUCUGUAACACUUGCUGCUGAGCCCGCUGCUGCUAAUGAUAGAAAUGAUAAAACCUGCAAUGGAAUCAAGUGGUUAUGUAUCCUUAGCAUUUCUUGUUAUCAAAAUAGUCAUUUUUAAAGAAAGAAAACCACCGCAUACCCAAUCUCCAAUGAUAAUGGCUGAAAGAAUUUUUGGUUGAUGAGGUAAACAUUUAACAAAGACAGAAUAUAUAUCCACUAGCACCAGAGUUACGCUCCAUGGAAUUACCAAACCCAUUACAGUCACCAAAUAGCUGCACAAGAAAGGGAUAAUCAAUCAUGAAAAUCAGAAAAAAAUGGCUUGAUAAUAAAGGGCAUCUGAAUUCUAUCAUCAAAGGAAAAUUGAAAGUGGCAAAACGUAGUUCUUGUAAUUUUCAGAAGGACAAUUCUGCUGAUGAGGCUAAAAGAAAUUCACUUUUUAUUUGUAUUUAUCUCACAUAGUUGAUUUCAAUAGUUCUUUGGCGAAUCCAUAAAUUUCAUUGGCAAGAAACAGUAUAAUAAGGAUAGUGAUCAGCGUGAGAGAAAUUUGGGGAAAAAAAAUUGCAGUUGAUUCCAAGCAAAGGGGAUUCACUUCUUACCAGAGCUACAAGGAAAAUAUCAACAGUUUCCAUAUAAAAUGCAACAUCGACAUAAUCAAGCCAAGCUCUGAACCCUGGUAUCCUGGGCAAUCCACUACUAGAAAACACAAAAGCCUCAUCAUCAUCAAACUAAGGAGGCUACAAUUACAGGUCUCAUCUGGAAAGAAGGCCCUAAUAAGUACAAGGUCCCUCUAAAGCUGUUUGAAACGUUUUCCAACAUUUAUAUCCCAAAUGGGUUUAAAUUUAUAUAUGAUGAGGCCAGUGAAAUUUUCAACAUGUUUAAGCAACAAAAGUACCAGAUGGAAUAGUCCUAAUGACCAAAUUUAGCAUUUGGAAAUCACUCAAAACCCAAAUGCUAUCUCCACAGUCCACCCCUCCCUCUCCC